UGAGUGGAUCCUGAGUACGACGGAGCACGUGAAAUUCCGUCGGAAUCUGGGAGGACCAUCUCCUAAGGCUAAAUACUCUCUAGUGACCGAUAGUGAACCAGUACCGUGAGGGAAAGGUGAAAAGCACCCCGGAAGGGGAGUGAAAUAGAACCUGAAACCGUGUGCUUACAAGUAGUCAGAGCCCGUUAAUGGGUGAUGGCGUGCCUUUUGUAGAAUGAACCGGCGAGUUACGAUUUGAUGCAAGGUUAAGCAGUAAAUGUGGAGCCGUAGCGAAAGCGAGUCUGAAUAGGGCGUUUAGUAUUUGGUCGUAGACCCGAAACCAGGUGAUCUACCCUUGGUCAGGUUGAAGUUCAGGUAACACUGAAUGGAGGACCGAACCGACUUACGUUGAAAAGUGAGCGGAUGAACUGAGGGUAGCGGAGAAAUUCCAAUCGAACCUGGAGAUAGCUGGUUCUCUCCGAAAUAGCUUUAGGGCUAGCCUCAAGUGAUGAUUAUUGGAGGUAGAGCACUGUUUGGACGAGGGGCCCCUCUCGGGUUACCGAAUUCAGACAAACUCCGAAUGCCAAUUAAUUUAACUUGGGAGUCAGAACAUGGGUGAUAAGGUCCGUGUUCGAAAGGGAAACAGCCCAGACCACCAGCUAAGGUCCCAAAAUAUAUGUUAAGUGGAAAAGGAUGUGGCGUUGCCCAGACAACUAGGAUGUUGGCUUAGAAGCAGCCAUCAUUUAAAGAGUGCGUAAUAGCUCACUAGUCGAGUGACACUGCGCCGAAAAUGUACCGGGGCUAAACAUAUUACCGAAGCUGUGGAUUGUCCUUUGGACAAUGGUAGGAGAGCGUUCUAAGGGCGUUGAAGCAUGAUCGUAAGGACAUGUGGAGCGCUUAGAAGUGAGAAUGCCGGUGUGAGUAGCGAAAGACGGGUGAGAAUCCCGUCCACCGAUUGACUAAGGUUUCCAGAGGAAGGCUCGUCCGCUCUGGGUUAGUCGGGUCCUAAGCUGAGGCCGACAGGCGUAGGCGAUGGAUAACAGGUUGAUAUUCCUGUACCACCUAUA
rnacentral:rRNA from 1 species